ncrna:unclassified sequences chromate-resist RNA
AGGGGAAAAAUGCAGUCUCCCCUUGAGACCACGGUCCAAGCGCUGC